UACGUAGGGUGCGAGCGUUGUCCGGAAUUAUUGGGCGUAAAGAGCUUGUAGGCGGUUUGUCGCGUCUGCUGUGAAAUUUCGGGGCUCAACCCCGAACUUGCAGUGGGUACGGGCAGACUAGAGUGUGGUAGGGGAGACUGGAAUUCCUGGUGUAGCGGUGAAAUGCGCAGAUAUCAGGAGGAACACCGAUGGCGAAGGCAGGUCUCUGGGCAACAACUGACGCUGAGGAGCGAAAGCGUGGGGAGCGAACAGG
rnacentral:rRNA from 1 species